GCGGUGCAGUGGUAGUAGCAUGCGUCCCCGGUAUGGAUGAAACGCGUGUUCGAUCCAAGCCUGAACCC